rnacentral:SRP_RNA from 1 species
CCAUUGGUAGCUUCGCAACUAGCUGCUGUGAACCCCGCCAGGACCGGAAGGUAGCAACGGUAGCAGCCAGUCAGUGUGCCGAAGAUGUGCUAGUGGGGUU